AGAACGAACGCUGGCGGCGCGCUUAACACAUGCAAGUCGAACGAGAAGCCGGAGCAAUCCGGUUGUAAAGUGGCAAACGGGUGAGUAAUGCGUGGGUAAUCUACCCUCGGGUGGGAAUAACUCCUCGAAAGGAGAGCUAAUGCCGACAUGUGCAGUACUUUCGCGAGGAGGUGCUGGAAAGCCGUACCGUGGGUACGGCGCCCAAGGAUGAGCUCGCGUCCUAUCAGCUUGUUGGCGGGGUAACGGCCCACCGAAGGCUCCGGACGGUA
rnacentral:rRNA from 1 species